rnacentral:lncRNA from 1 species
UUUUUUUUUUUCUUGGUAAUAACAAUAAGUGUCUUAGUUAGGAUUUCUAUUGCUAUAACAAGAACACUAUGACCAAAAGCAACUUGGGAAUGAAAGGGUAGCAAUAAGAUUACAGGUCUACAUAUCACAAUAUAUCACUGUAGGAAGUCAGGGCAGGAACUCAAACAGUGCAGGAACCUAGAAGAAUACGCUGAUGCAGGAGCCAUAGAGAAGUGCUGCUCAGUGGCAUGCUCCCCAUGGCUUGUUCUACCUGCCUUCUUAGAACACCUAGGACCAUCAGCCCAGCCAUCACACCAUCCACAUGGGCUAGGCCCUCCCACAUCAAUCACUAAUCAAGAAAAUGCACUACACAAACUUGCUCAUGAGCCUAGCUCCUGUAGACAUUUUCUCAAUUGAGAAUUCAUCUUCCCAAAUGAAAAUGACUCUAGCUUGUGUCAGGCUGUUAUAAAACUCACCAGCACAUACAGCGACCCAAAACUUCAUAGGUACUUUGAAAUAAGUGAAUCUCCAAUCAUGCUGCUAUCCUUUUAAGAAUUUGUAACUAUCCCUGCAAACUGUUGUGGGCUAUGUCAUGGUCUCUAAAUGCCACCCUCUUACAUCCUAAGCAGAAUGAAGCAUGAAAUAGGAACUAAGGUGUGGCACAAUGCAGACAACUUUCCUCUGGGCUCUCCUUACAGGACACUUCUCAGCCAUGAAUCUUACUGGCCUCUACCUUUCACAUAACCAGGGAAACCAAAACAUACAUCCAUUUUUUAAUCUUGUCCUCUUCCCCACACAUUCUCAAUCUUUUCUCACUGUUCCUCCCUCACAAAAGAGCAAGCAUAGGAACAAAUGAGAAAGUUUCUGACUGCCAUUGACUCUGGGAAAAUAUUAGUCUUGUGCUGAUUGUUGCAGUGAUGUACAUAUAACAUGAAAUUUACUAUCUUAAUCAUUUCAAGUGCAUGGUUAAGUACAAUCACACCAUUAUGACAAUCCCCAGUAUAUUUAAAUUUUUAUCACACAGAACUGAAACACCUUAUCUCUAUGCUACACUAACCAGUCCUUUCAAAAAAUUCCAAGUCGUAAGUCUAAGAUUAGGCAAGACAUAGCCUUUGUGCUCUUAAACACUUUUCCAAAAUAUAUUCAUUUUAAAUUUGUAUGUAUAAAAAUGAAUAGCUAUUUUAGCAUACAGAAUUAAAUCAGUCAUUUUAAUGAUUCUACUGAUUGGCUUCCAGGAGCAUCUGUGUGUCUUCUCAUUAAAGUAACCAAUGCAUUACAACUGUCAUUGCUCUGUGACUCUUCUUCUCUUGCUUUGCUAUUUAAUGUUUCUUUGAAGUCAAAGAGUAGCUCUUCAUGAUAUGCAUCCAAGUGUGCACUUAAAUCAUAGAACUUAUUCUUAGCAAGGAAGUAUGUAGUGAAGCACCUGGUCAAAUGGGAAGACAGCCUUGAGAAAGACAAUGUUUUUCCUGCUGAAUUUCUAGGAAUAGCCAACAAAGUGGGAGUCCUGAUAGGUGAGACCAGCAGUGUGCUCUUUCAUAACCUCUUUCAAUUACUCUCAACUCUUCUUUAUUUUUGGAUCCUAUGUAAAAUUUUCUAUAAAGAAAAGAGGUUAUACUAUGUUUUGAAACAAAACAUCUUGGAUCUCGAGGAACGUUUUGUCUCAUUAUUGAGAUUCAUUGGAAGCCUGUCAUUGAAUGAAAAGAUAUCAUUGAAAACAUGUGGCCUUUAAACCAACCACCGACUCUCUCCAAGCCUCUUUUCUUUAUGACUAGAAUGAGAAUAACGGUGUAUAUCUGCAUCUUCUAACACCUGAGAAGAUUUAAAAGCAGUGAGCAGUGUGCUGCCAGCCUCCUCACCCUGCUGCCUAACAAGGUCCCUCCCACAUGAGCAGAGCAAUCCAGGAAGCAGGUGACAGAGGAUGAGGUAGUCCAGAGCAGAGACAGGAAUAUAACAGAAACUGGAUCUAUCUGGCUCUGGAUACUAGAUCUAGGUUGGACGUAAUGACAUUGGGAGCUGUGACUGAUGGGUUCUCAACCAGAUGCCACCUUUCUCAGUGUCUAGAGGAGUGGUAUCUAACAAUGACUAAGAUGGUUUCCCAAGAGAAUUUGAUACUGAAAUCUCACUCCCUCUCCCUCUCCUUCUCCCUUUUCCAUCCCUUUUCUUCUCCCUCUCCCCAUCAUCCUCCUCCCUCUUCCUCCACCUUCCUUUCCAUUCCUAGUGAUCAAAUUCAGAGCCAUCCACAUGUUCGAAUAUUAGUUAGGCGCGCUUUCUAGCACUGCGGUACAUCAUCAGCCCUGGAAAGACUUAUUGCCAUGAAUGAAUCGUUACUGGCAUGUACGUGAUCAAGGCAGAGCCACCAUGGUCCAUGGGUUCUGUUAAAUACCUCACUCUGAACAUGACAAAACCUCGAUAUAACAACAUUAACAGCUUAACACGUCACUCGUGCUGACCUUGAGAAACUCUACUUUUAGAGACUUUCUGACAUAGGUGCCUCUCCCCAUCAUUGAUUUCCUCUUCGUCUGGUAACCUGGAAAUUCUUCAGGUUACUUUUGUUCUGGUUCUCUUCUUUGUUCCUUUGUCCCUCUCUUCAUCCCUUCUUCAUAACUUUUUCCUUUCACUGACUUCACUAAGACAAGAUUCUUUUGUUUUCUUCACUAACUAGUAAAUUGCUUCUUUCCCAACUCUUACUCUUAAAAGCAACAGAAUAGAGCUCUCUAAGGGAAAAUAACAUAAAGCUUGAAACCACAUAAAACUGCAUUUGUAUUUGUGUAGACAUGCAUGGAUUGUUCUUUAGGCCAGUAGAUUCAGAGACAAAAACAAACAAAAACCAUCCCCCAGUGUUACAGAUAGUUAGGGGGACUGGACUGUGUAACAUCAAUCCCAAGAAAUACCUUAAGUAAGUACUCCCAGGUUCUUUAGAAUGAAAAAUCUAGGAGGUGUCUUAGUUCUAUUGCUGAGAAGAGACACUAUAACCAAGGCAAGUCUUAUUUAAAAAAAAAAAGCAUUUAAUUGGGGCUGGCUCACAGUUUCAGAGGUUUAGUCCAUCCAUUAUCAUCAUGACAGAAAGCACUCAGGCAGACACGAUACUGGAGAAGUAACUCAGAGUUCUACAUCUAGAUCCUGCAUGCAGCAGGGAGAGAGACACAGGACCUGGCUUGGGCUUUUAAAACGCCAAACCACACCCUCAGUGAUUAAUUUUCUCCAACCAGGCUAUACCUACUCCAACCAGGCCACACCUACUCCAACAAGGCCACACCUACUCCAACAAAGCCACAUGUCCUAAUGCUACUCCCUAAGCAUUCAAGCAUAUGAUCCUAUGGGAGAUGUUCUUAUCCAAACCAUCAGAGAUGGUAUCAGAUGCCCUAUAAAGGAGUAGGGCUUUCAGGCCAAACUUACUUUGAAAGGUUCUCAAAUGAUUAUGAGACACAACGGGUUUGGGCAACAUAAACAGGUUGUUUUUAUAAAUUUCAACCACUGGCUUGCUAUCUUAUCACUCAACCUUUUACCAAUGAGCAGAUUUCAACCAAAACAACAUUUUUUUUUUUGAUUAGUUGAGUGAAAUCUCAAUUCAUUGCAUCUCAAUUUAUUGUCAGACUUUAAAUCAAGUGGGCAAUUAUUUAUUCCCAUCAAGGCAGCCUUUUGCUAUCCUGUAGCCAAAAUAAUAAAUACUGGUUGUUAGUUUUAUAUUCAACCUUGUUCCUCAGUGUUUUAAAUUAUUCUGAUACAGCUUUGGAUGGAGAGUGAAUAAAAAGAGGCAUGGUCUCUGGAGCCCCAGAUCUUCUCAUAAAGACCCAAGAAUAAAGUGGUCUAAACAACCCUUACACACUUGCUCACUCACUCAACAACUCUUUGGAAAACUCACCCAAUCCCAGCUCCGUCUCUUGAUUUACUCUUUAUUCUCAUGACUGAAGAACUCAGCUGUUUAUGUUUUAAUAAAAAAUGGUUUAAAAGACCAAGCAGAAUCCAAUGGGGACUGUUUCUGAGAUAUCCAGCUUACUGGCAUAUUCUAAUGUCUACUUGGCAAUAACUGAAAGUGUGGCCUUUGUAUUCCAAGUAACUCUGUCUUUGAGUAGUUUGCAGAUUUAUCACUUGUUGGUCUACAGCCUUUAAGUUAGGGAUCAUAUCCAAAGCUGCCUGGUUUUAUAGGAAAAGCCUAGUUGUUUCCAAAAGCAAGGCCAAUUAAUAGAGCAUUCGAGAUAUUUGAGAUCUAUUUCCAUGGAGGAAAUGAUCUUAAAGUGAAGUUAAUUAGGAGUGCAGAGAGCCAGAGAUGAUAAAUUCAGAAUUGCAUAAUAGAUUUGUAUACUAAAGGGGCCUGUGUCAUCUCCAGUCCUAAAGAGACCGGCUGCUGAAGAAUGAGACUCAGAAAAAUGGGUGGGUUAUAUCGCCUCCAGCUUUCCAUGUCACAUGCACAUGUCACAUGGCCUUUCAUGACCUAUAUUAAAGUUCUCCAGAGAAAGAGAACCAGUGGGUUAUUCUGUAAAUAUGUGUGUAGGUUUAUAUAUGCAUGUAUAUAUAAAUGAAGGGAGAUUUUUUUAUGGCAAGGGAUUGAAGUGAUGAUAUUAAGUUUAAAUUCAAUCUGGAGACCUAGGAAUGACAAUGAUGUAACUCAUUCUACAUCUCAACUGAGAGAUUCCUGGUGGUAUAACUUUUACUUAGAGGCCAAAACCUAAGGUACAGAGUAGAGACUGGGGGAGUCUAGUGACCUGAAAACCAAGAGCUCUCAUGUCCAGAGUCAGGACAAAAUGAAUCUCACAUCCACCAGACUUUUAGUUUUUCUGUUCUGACUCUUAAAGGAUUGGAUAGUACUCACCUAAAACAAC